GACGAACGCUGGCGGCGUGCUUAACACAUGCAAGUCGAACGGAAAGGCCCUGCUUUUGUGGGGUGCUCGAGUGGCGAACGGGUGAGUAACACGUGAGUAGCCUGCCCUUGACUUUGGGAUAACUUCAGGAAACUGGGGCUAAUACCGGAUAGGAGCUCCUGCUGCAUGGUGGGGGUUGGAAAGUUUCGGCGGUUGGGGAUGGACUCGCGGCUUAUCAGCUUGUUGGUGGGGUAGUGGCUUACCAAGGCUUUGACGGGUAGCCGGCCUGAGAGGGUGACCGGCCACAUUGGGACUGAGAUACGACCCAGACUCCUACGGGAGGCAGCAGUGGGGAAUAUUGCACAAUGGGCGGAAGCCUGAUGCAGCAACGCCGCGUGCGGGAUGACGGCCUUCGGGUUGUAAACCGCUUUCGCCUGUGACGAAGCGUGAGUGACGGUAAUGGGUAAAGAAGCACCGGCUAACUACGUG
rnacentral:rRNA from 1 species